UUUGGAUUUGAAUAUGAGAAAUUUGAGAUAAGGGUUGAGAGACAACCUAAGAUCGAUUGCUCUGAUACCAUACUAAAAUAUGAAUAUGGUUUGAACACUUUGGGUUAGGUUUUAUUCUUCUUCAUAAGGAGGUAUAUAUAGGAGUUUACAUGAGUGCUUUACAAGGAAAUAAAUACAGUAAUUAAUUAGUAUAGUAUUUCCUAAUUAUACAAUGAUUUGUCAACUAUAUAGAAUAGGAAAGUAAAUCCCUUAAUUAAUCAAGUAAAUAAAUCUCCUUGAUUAAUUAGGAGACUCAUGUCAACAGUGGCAGGCCACGAGGACCUGGUGGCAAUGGAGGUGUUGGACACAGGAACCAGAACAGAGCAACCACCGUGGCUGAAAUGGUGAGAAAUAUUGCGAUGGUCAUGCGAUGGUCAUCUUUCUCAAUAUUGCUAGCAUCCCACCAUAAUGACCACAUUUUUGGCUUUAGGCCCUUAACCCUAAUGAAGACGAAAGAUAUAUAAAGUUUUAGAAAGAAGGAAGAAGCAUCUCCAUGUUAACCAGUCAGUUACCAUAUGCUUAUUAUAUAUACAGAAAAUACAUAUAGAAAAGCUUUUUGACCAGAUGAAGAAUCUUGUUGGAUGUGGUGGGGAUGGCUUGUAGUAGCUAAAUAUUGUUUUGCCCCUACCACACAAAAAUCAAGGAGAAAACGCCAGGAGCUAAAUACAUCCAGGAGAAAACGCCAGAACAAAAAUCAAG
rnacentral:lncRNA from 1 species